AGAGUAGGACUUAAUGUUCUAUCACGCUCCUUAUGCGGAAAGCGUGAGACACAGUUUAUCGCCGCUGACUCUAGACAGUUUUUGAGGAGUUGUCUGGGAAGGCAAGCUUUCUAGCUUUCAAGAUUUGAAUUUGAGGGCUUGGGGAGAAUUGGGGUUUAUCUGGUUGGGGUGGGAACAACCUGCCAGUCUUGAGGAAGGUUCACUUUAGGGCAGCCCUGCCCCCUACAUGGCUUGUUCAUGCAUCUGAAGUGACCUCCAGACUUCUGCAGACGUUUUGUUUGUCAUGCACACUCACUUAAAUCCCUUGACCUUAUUGCUCAAGAAUCUCCGCGUGUCUCAGCAUUGCCUCUAGGGUGGAAUCCAGGGGGUUCGUUUUCCAGAACAGUCACCAUCUAGCUUGAUGUGAGUCCUCAGUCUGGCUCCUGGCUCCCCCUACGUUAUUCUGUGCACCCCAGCUCUUCUCCAGGACCCGCCAUGCUCCAGACACACCAGGUAUGGUCACAUCUCAGUAUCCGGAAGAGUUGUGCCUCUUCUGGGAUGCAUCUUGCUGUCUACUCCGGCCACUCCAUUUCUCUCACAAUCAAAGUCUGCUCAUCUAAGCUUCAGCUCAACAGUUACUCUCCCUGGGAACUGGUCCCAGAUCGUUAAUCCUCAUAGCCAUCUUAAUUAAGCACACUGCUAGGGUGUGCUUAUCACCUCCUUAAGCAACACAGCCACAGUUCUCGCUAUGCUGCCAGUUUCCUGAAAGUCUUUCAGCACUACUGGGUCACCCUCCACAGGGGCUCUCUGUCACUGACCCCACUGUGGCAUCCUGCCCUGUUUCCUGUAUCGCAGAGUAGGCUUACUGAACGCCUGUAGACCUUUGCCUGAUGAUAAGCGAUUCAAAAGGUAGCUUUGGGGAGCUGGAGAGAUGGCUCAGUGGUUAAGAACUCUGGCCAAAGACCAAAGUUCAUUUCCCAGCACCCAUGUCAGGAGGCUCACAACGGCCUUCAAGUCAAGCUGCAGGGAAUCCAACGCUCUUCUGCCCUCUGCUGGUACCUUCAUGUACAUACUCUUACCUAUGUGUGAUCAUGACACACAUGCAGGCUGGUGAGUGCGCGCGCGCGCGCACACACACACACACACACACACACACACACACACACAGAGGGAGAGAGAGAGAGAGAGAGAGAGAGAGAGAGAGAGAGAGAGAGAGAGAGAGAAAGAGAGAGAGGGGUAUCCUUUAAAGCCAGACUUGUCAGAUUUCUGGGGCUCAAGCAGGAGAGGGACUUGUAAGUUUGGGAGAAAUACAACUGGGGCAAAAGCCAGAUCGUUCAGAUCGUCUAGCUGAGGGUCAAUGGGAACAUUUAUCCGAGAAAUCACUGUGCAUGUAGAGAUAAUCUCCUGAGUGUAAAAGAGACGGCAGGAUCUUUUUCAAAAUAGAUUUCCCCCUUCUUUGACCUUUCCUGGGUAUGGCCAUACUGUUGUUAACUUUAUUACUGAAGCUUAAUGCCCAAGGAACCAGGAAACACUUCUGGAAACAGCUGUGAGUGUGGCCAUUCAUUGAUUAUGGAGCGGGAUCUCUGCUUCCAUGGUUAGGGCGCCUGUGUUCUCCUUAGAAGCACUAAUGACAGGGACUUAAAUUAGACCACACCGAGUUAAGGGAAAUGAUUCAGUCCACCAUUUUCAUCAGACCAAUGACUGGAGCCAUCUACCCUGACCUCUACAAAGGGUUUCGGAACAACUGUGUAAUUCCCAGAAAGAUAAGAGAAGGCAGGUCACCCGGUGGUUCUCAAGUCUCCUCUGUCAUCCCAGGACACACCUCAAGGCAGGAGGGUGCCUAAGUACACGGGGCGUUGGGUGUGAGCCUUGUGAGAGCAGAGACCGGGAGACCUUAAUGGAGGGGCUGGCACUGUGACAGUGUGCAGGCCCAGUCUGGCCUGUGCGGCAGCUGCACAUGUUCCUGGGACCCGAGCCAGCUGGUGGCUCAUGGCAAUGGUUUCUGGGUCCUGGCUGUGUCCCAAAACAGGCUCGAGCUCCUUAGUCUGAUCUGGCCAUGGCUUUGUUCUAACUCCAAGAUGAAGUUUGGCUGCUGAACCAGAAGGGGAAGGCAGGUCCAUGCCCCCUUAACCCACGCGCUCCUUCCAACCAAUCUGAUACACAGGGUCGAGGGCGGAAGCAGAGUUAGAGUCUGACGCCGUGCGGUAGUUCCGCCCCCUUUUGGCCUCCUCAGCACACCUCAACCCUAACCUUUGAGCACUGGGCUUCAGCUGAGGCUGAGGUCACUAAGGGCUUCGUCAGGAGUCCAGAAGAUCCAGGAACACUUGGAGGUGACCCCAAACUGGGUUGCAACACUGCAAGCCUUGGUUUUAUCCAAGACAUGUGAUUCCCCCAAAUCAGGGUCUCUGAAACCCACUGAGUUCUCAAAACAAGGUGACCCUUAAAUCUCCCUCUAACAUUUGGUGACGCUUUCCAACGGUGACGUUCUUUGACACGCACGCUUCCCUUAAGGCAUCUUUAGGACCUUUUGGUCUCUUUAUUGAUUAGAUCGGGCGAUCUAAGGAAAGGCAGAAUGCUCGCCGCGCAGAGGGAGCUUCUAGACAAAGCUCCUAGACGAGACUCCAGCCUCCCCGGCAGCUUGCUGUCCCAGCCCCUCCCAUCUGGGGCUCUGAAAUCAGCUUGUAAAAUAUAGGCUUUAUUUGUAGGCUUCUCUUCUAGUUUCAGGCUAAUUCUAGUAGAUUGAGAGUAACACAAUAAGAGGGAGAAAUUUUGUUUUGUUUGUUUGUUUGGAGUGCUUUCCUUAUUAUUUUUUUUUCCUUUCCCAAACUCUUUUUUUGGAAACUGCAACCCCGGAUCCCAACAGAGGCUCCUGGGGGGUUUUAAGAACAUCAAUCAGUUUCGCAGCUGGAGGCUGAGGCUUUCCUGGGGGAAGACUUUUUACAUAAAACAGAUUGUACUUUGUCCUUGCCAGGGCAGACAAAGGUUUAAAUUAAAUAUGCAGCAAGCUCCAGUUGGCUGCCUGCCACCACCCAGAGGUGGGGGAAGGGAGACCGUGUCCCUGCUCGCCUGACUCACUCAGUGGUUUUUUUUUUCUUCUUCUUCUUCUUUCUUUCCCUUCCCAUUUCUGUUACUGCUGUGGAAGGCGCCUGCAGUCCUGGGCUGGGUUUUUCUGUAAAUGCACUCUGUGAGAGAUAUGCAGCCUUCUGGGACCUUGGCUUCCUCUUCUAUGCAAGGAGGGAGGUGACCUUUGAAGGUCUCUUCUGUAUUUAACCUUUUUCCGCUUUCUCUGAUCUCACGGCAGGGAUUUUAAGCGAAUGCCCUAAGCCUCUCUACAUGGGGGCUCACACCAUCCCCGGGGUGAUGUGUAACUCAUCUAUGUGUAACUUAUUAUUCCUGGGGUGACUGAUCACACCAUUCCUGGGGUGACCUCAUCCAUGUGAGCCAGACCGGAUGCUUGCCCACUCGGAGACCCCAGUCUCAUCUGUCUAUAACAUCUCCACACUAAUACGUGACUUCCAGAGACUCCGGGUGAGGCAUUGGAGACCAGCCAGAAGCCCUUUUCAAAGACCUUGACUUUCACGUGACCUUUUCACCCUCGAUGGACAGAACAGACGAGUGACUGGCUUCGCUGCAACAGGACAGCGACGUGACCUCUCAGCAUCCUGGUCCACCCGCAUGCCUGCCUGCUGCCUCUUCCCUGCCAUUACGGAUGCUAAUCCUCUGGAACCACAAGACAACAUAACAACAAGUCCUCUUCCUUAGGUUGCCUUGGUCAUGGUAUCCUGUCACAGCGACAGAAAAGUACUGAAUAUGAGGGACAACCCGAUUGUGUGUUUGCGUCGAGCUAUCUCAAAGACACGAUCCAGUCUACGGAUUGACUGACUGCCCUUGUACGUCCGUACCCAUGCGAACGAGCACAGCACGAUCACAGAAGAACGAGCCUCGGUGAACAGUGAAUGCCUUGAGGGAACUGUGGGAGAGGCUCCAGGAGAAAAAGGCUGAGGGCCUUUACCUCAGGGGCAUCUUGUUCCCUGGAUUGUUCUUGGAUGUGAUUUUGUGUUUCCUGUGUUAAACAUUUACGUUCAAUUCAUAAGACUUGUUUGUUCUUGUUGGAUGUCUGAACAUAGCUGUAGAACCCAAAUCUGGUCAGUGUACCUUGAAUCUGGACAUGGCCUUCUGCCUUGCUUCCCUGCUUUCCCGGAUCUAGUCUAGUACGUUCUAGGUAAUUGUGUUUAAACUGGUCUGUCCUGAGAAAGUUCUGGGGACAGGCUGCUCUGCUAAUAUUUAGUAUGUGCUUACUGGUGUUAAUUUGCAUGUUUUUCUGAACUCUAACAGCCUUCCUUGAAUCCUUCCUUUCUUUUUUAUGUUGGGUCUAAAGUACACUGAAAGUAAGGAGGUUACCUACAGUUUCAGACUCUAGUAUGCCCCAUUCUUUCAGGUCCUCGGAUUCCAAGUCCAGCAGACAAGGUCUGCACGAGUUGAUGCAAAUCAUCACGGGAUAACCUUUCUUCUGUUUGUUUUGGUUUUGUUGUUUAAGACCCAGUCUCCCAUAGUUCAGAGACUUGAACUGAAUAUACAGCUAAGGACAGUCCCCUUGCCCCUACCUCCCAAGAGCUGGGAUUGUAGGUGUGCACCUCCUUCUGGUUUACUCAGCGCUGGGACAUUAAUCUAGGAAAACGGGCCUGCCAGUCAUCAUGCACGCUAGGCAAGUUUUAUACGGACUGAGCUACCCCCCCACCAGCCCUCGGUAUCCAUUUUUUUUUUAAACCAUCUGGAGAAACAAGUUGGGGAAUAAAUUACAUAGGAAUUUGGAAAUAAAAAGAAUAAAUAUAUGUGCCAGAACCAUUUUAAUACUGAAGGUUUUUUAAAUGUAGCUGACAGCGUUAUUAAAAUGUAUUGCGAUGGUUGCAAAAAUCAAACUGUUAAGGCUUUUAGAAGGGACUACAGCUUUCUUCUUUUCUUUAAGUGUAUUCUUUAAUGUGAAUCAAGGGUGGCUGCUGGCAGUAUCGGCCCACACACUCAAGUGUACAAAAAAUGCUGUCCAGUGGGUGAAUAGGGCCAAUAUGGAGGGUCCGGGUCGCGGUAUUAAAUAAUUCCCAUCA